rnacentral:misc_RNA from 1 species
UGAAUGUAAAAGCAGCAACGAUGUCUGUGACAAGAAUGCAAACUGCUCCAAUACUGUUGGGUUUUAUAAUUGCACCUGUAAAGAAGGAUUUACUGGGGAUGGACACUCAUGCUCAGAUAUAGAUGAAUGCAAAGGCAGCAAUACUGUGUGU